AGUGAACGCUGGCGGCAGGCCUAAUACAUGCAAGUCGAACGGCAGCACAGUGGAGCUUGCUCCAUGGGUGGCGAGUGGCGGACGGGUGAGGAAUACAUGGGAAUCUGCCCAGUCGUGGGGGAUAACGUAUGGAAACGUACGCUAAUACCGCAUGCGCCCUUCGGGGAAAGUCGGGGACCGCAAGGCCUGACGCGAUUGGAUGAGCCCAUGUUCGAUUAGCUAGUUGGCGGGUAACGGCCCACCAAGGCGACGAUCGAUAGCUGGUCUGAGAGGAUGAUCAGCCACACUGGAACUGAGACACGGUCCAGACUCCUACGGGAGGCAGCAGUAGGGAAUAUUGGACAAUGGGCGCAAGCCUGAUCCAGCCAUGCCGCGUGAGUGAAGAAGGCCCUCGGGUUGUAAAGCUCUUUUGUUGGGGAAGAAAAGCAGUUGGUUAAUACCCGAUUGUUCUGACGGUACCCAAAGAAUAAGCACCGGCUAACUUCGUGCCAGCAGCCG
rnacentral:rRNA from 1 species